rnacentral:rRNA from 1 species
CUACGGGAUGCUCCAGUGGGGAAUAUUGCACAAUGGAGGAAACUCUGAUGCAGCAACGCCGCGUGGAGGAUGACACUUUUCGGAGCGUAAACUCCUUUUAUAUAGGAAGAAGAUGACGGUACUAUAUGAAUAAGCACCGGCUAAACUCCGUGCCAGCAGCCGCGGUAAUACGGAGGGCGCAAGCGUUACUCGGAAUCACUGGGCGUAAAGAGCGUGUAGGCGGAUUAAAAAGUCAGAAGUGAAAUCCUAUAGCUUAACUAUAGAACUGCUUCUGAAACUCUUAAUCUAGAAUAUGGGAGAGGUAGAUGGAAUUUCUGGUGUAGGGGUAAAAUCCGUAGAGAUCAGAAGGAAUACCGAUUGCGAAGGCGAUCUACUAGAACAUUAUUGACGCUGAGACGCGAAAGCGUGGGGAGCAAACAGGAUUAGAUACCCGCGUAGUC